rnacentral:rRNA from 1 species
CGCCUCUUGCAUACCAAAUAUAAGAGGUCCCGCCUGCCCUGUGACUAUACGUUUAACGGCCGCGGUAUUUUAACCGUGCGAAGGUAGCGCAAUCACUUGUCUUUUAAAUGAAGACCUGUAUGAAUGGCAUCACGAGGGCUUAGCUGUCUCCUCUUUCAAGUCAAUGAAAUUGAUCUGCCCGUGCAGAAGCGGACAUAAGAACAUAAGACGAGAAGACCCUAUGGAGCUUUAGACACCCGGCAGACCAUGUCAAGUAACCCUGUUAUUGGAUUAAAACAAAACGGCUCCUGGCCCACAUGUCUUCGGUUGGGGCGACCACGGGGGAAAAUAUAGCCCCCAUGCGGACUAAGGGUAACACCCUUAUAACCAUGAGCUACAGCUCUAAGUCUCAGAAAUUCUGACCAAAAAGAUCCGACACCCGUCGAUCAACGGACCAAGUUACCCUAGGGAUAACAGCGCAAUCCUCUCCCAGAGUCCCUAUCGACGAGGGGGUUUACGACCUCGAUGUUGGAUCAGGGCAUCCUAAUGGUGCAACCGCUAUUAAGGGUUCGUUUGUUCAACGAUUAAAGUCCU